rnacentral:rRNA from 1 species
GUUUGUGGCCCAAGCUCCUUGUCAAACCCUGAUCUAGUCAGCUCUCAGAAGCUAAGGAGGGCUGGGCCUGGUUAGUACUUGUAUGGGAGACCUAUUGGGGGUGCUUUUUGGAAAACA